UACGUAGGGUGCGAGCGUUGUCCGGAAUCACUGGGCGUAAAGGGUGCGUAGGCGGCCUGAUAAGUAGGGGGUGAAAUCCUGUGGCUCAACUGCAGGGCUGCCUCCUAGACUGUCGGGCUUGAGCACGGUAGAGGCAGAUGGAAUUCCCGGUGUAGCGGUGGAAUGCGUAGAGAUCGGGAAGAACACCUGUGGCGAAGGCGGCCACCUGGGCCGACCCUGACGCUGAGGCGCGAAGGCGUGGGGAGCGAACGGG
rnacentral:rRNA from 1 species